rnacentral:rRNA from 1 species
GGGGGGGGGGGGGGGGGGGGGGGGGGGGGGGGGGUGGGGGGGGGGGGGGGGGGGUGCGCGCGUGUGCAGCGGCGGGCGGGUGAGUAAUGGCUAGGAAGAUGCCUGGUGGUGGGGGAUGACGUACGGGAACGGGGGAUAAUACCGCAUAGGACCUGAGGUCGGAAGUGGGGGCACUUCGGACCGCCCGCGAUCAGAUACUCCUAGGUCGGAUUAGCUAGUUGGUGGGGUAAAGGCCUACCAAGGCGACGAUCCGUAACUGGUCUGAGAGGAUGAUCAGUCACACUGGAACUGAGACACGGGCCAGACUCCUACGGGAGGCAGCAGUGGGGAAUAUUGGACAAUGGGCGAAAGCCUGAUCCAGCCAUGCCGCGUGUGUGAAGAAGGUCUUCGGAUUGUAAAGCACUUUAAGUUGGGAGGAAGGGCAGUAAGUUAAUACCUUGCUGUUUUGACGUUACCAACAGAAUAAGCACCGGCUAACUUCGUG